rnacentral:rRNA from 1 species
UACGUAGGGUGCGAGCGUUGUCCGGAAUUAUUGGGCGUAAAGAGCUCGUAGGCGGUCUGUCGCGUCGGUCGUGAAAACUUGGGGCUUAACCCUGAGCUUGCGGUCGAUACGGGCAGACUAGAGUGUGGUAGGGGAGACUGGAAUUCCUGGUGUAGCGGUGAAAUGCGCAGAUAUCAGGAGGAACACCAGUGGCGAAGGCGGCUCACUGGUCCGGUACUGACGCUGAGGUGCGAAAGCGUGGGGAGCAAACAGG